ensembl:lncRNA
ACUGGGAGGGACUGGGAGCCAUACUGGGAUAUACUGGGAGGUACUGGGAGGGACUGGGAGUCUUACUGGGAUAUACUGGGAGGGACUGGGAGGGACUGGGAGUGAUACUGGGAGGGACUGGGAGCCAUACUGGGGUGGACUGGGAGGGACUGGGAGGGGCUGGGAGGGACUGGGAGUCAUACUGGGAUAUACUGGGAGGGACUGGGAGGGACUGGGAGUCAUACUGGGAUAUACUGGGAGGGGCUGGGAGGGAGUGGGAGUCAUACUGGGAGGGAAUGGG